rnacentral:rRNA from 1 species
CAGUAGCCACGGGAAUACAGAGGGUGCGAGCGUUAAUCGGAUUUACUGGGCGUAAAGCGUGCGUAGGCGGCUUCUUAAGUCGGAUGUGAAAUCCCUGAGCUUAACUUAGGAAUUGCAUUCGAUACUGGGAAGCUAGAGUAUGGGAGAGGAUGGUAGAAUUCCAGGUGUAGCGGUGAAAUGCGUAGAGAUCUGGAGGAAUACCGAUGGCGAAGGCAGCCAUCUGGCCUAAUACUGACGCUGAGGUACGAAAGCAUGGGGAGCAAACAGGAUUAGAUACCCGCGUAGUCCCUGUCUCUUAUAU